CAGGGGUGGUGGGUGGUAGGGGAGCGUCCCGCGCCGGGUGAAGCCCCGGGGUGACCCAGGGGUGGACGGCGUGGGAGUGAGAAUGCAGGCAUGAGUAGCGAUACUAGGGUGGGAAGCCCUAGCGCCGAAUGACCAAGGGUUCCAGGGCCAGGCUAGUCCGCCCUGGGUGAGUCGGGACCUAAGGCGAGGCCGACAGGCGUAGUCGAUGGACGACGGGUUGAUAUUCCCGUACCGGUGCAGCACCGCCCAUGCUGACGCGCGGGUGCUGACCCACGCCCCACGCCACGUCGACCGCUGGGUCGUUCCUUCGGGGGCGCCUGGUGGUUGUGGUGGGGGGUCUGGGGACCCUCCGCGCUGGUAGGCAAGCGUAUUAACAGGGGUGACGCGCAGUGGUAGCCCCGCGGGCCUGAUGGCUUGGCCCGUUCAAGCGCGCAGCCCGGUCCCCAGGCAAAUCCGGGGGCCUCCGCCCGAUCGGGUGGGAGGGUGAGGCGUGAUGGUGACCCCACAGAUGGUGGGGGAUAGCAGGGUGAUCCUGUGGCGCCGAGAAAAGCCCCGGCGCGAGGUGCGAGCCGCCCGUACCCUAAACCGACACAGGUGGUCGGGCAGAGUAUGCCUAGGCGCACGAGUGAAUCAUGGUGAAGGAACUCGGCAAAAUGCCCCCGUAACCUCGGGAGAAGGGGGGCCCGAGCCCUGAAGCCCCGUCGCGGGCUAGGGGGGAGGGCCGCAGAGACCAGGGGGAAGCGACUGUUUACUAAAAACACAGGUCCGUGCGAAGCCGCAAGGCGAUGUAUACGGACUGACGCCUGCCCGGUGCUGGAAGGUUAAGAGGAUCCGUCAGCCCCCCAGUGGGGUGAAGCGGUGAAUUCAAGCCCCAGUAAACGGCGGUGGUAACUAUAACCAUCCUAAGGUAGCGAAAUUCCUUGUCGGGUAAGUUCCGACCUGCACGAAUGGCGUAACGACUUCCCCGCUGUCUCCACCAUGAGCUCGGCGAAAUUGCAGUACGAGUAAAGAUGCUCGUUUCGCGCAGAAGGACGGAAAGACCCCGGGACCUUUACUAUAGCUUGGUAUUGGCGCCCGCUAUGGCUUGUGCAGGAUAGGUGGGAGACUGUGAGGCCAUCACGCCAGUGGUGGUGGAGUCGUCGUUGAAAUACCACUCUGGCCAUGGCGUGCGCCUGAACCUGGGCCCGUGAUCCGGGUCAGGGACAGUGCCUGGUGGGUAGUUUAACUGGGGCGGUUGCCUCCUAAAGUGUAACGGAGGCGCUCAAAGGUCCCCUCAGCCUGGUCGGCAACCAGGUGUUGAGUGCAAGUGCACAAGGGGGCUUGACUGCGAGACCGACGGGUCGAGCAGGUGCGAAAGCAGGAACUAGUGAUCCGGCGAUCCCGUGUGGGUGGGUCGUCGCUCAACGGAUAAAAGGUACCCCGGGGAUAACAGGCUGAUCCUGCCCAAGAGUCCAUAUCGACGGCAUGGUUUGGCACCUCGAUGUCGGCUCGUCGCAUCCUGGGGCUGGAGCAGGUCCCAAGGGUUGGGCUGUUCGCCCAUUAAAGCGGUACGCGAGCUGGGUUUAGAACGUCGUGAGACAGUUCGGUCCCUAUCCUCUGCGCGCGCAGGAUACUUGAGAAGGCCUGUCCCUAGUACGAGAGGACCGGGACGGACGAACCUCUGGUGUGCCAGUUGUCCCGCCAGGGGCACGGCUGGUUGGCUACGUUCGGGACGGGUAACCGCUGAAAGCAUCUAAGCGGGAAACCAUCUUCAAGAUGAGGUAUCCACACCAUCCCUUCGGGGUGGUGGGAGGCCCCCAGUAGACCACUGGGUUGAUAGACCAGGAGUGGACAGCCCGCAAGGGCCAUUCGAGCUGACUGGCACUAAUCGGCCGACACAAACAACAC
rnacentral:rRNA from 1 species